AGUUACUGCCACCCUCUCCCAGGUCUAGAGAGGGGUACCCACGGUGGAGGGAGGUGGGAGGCCGAGACGGCCCCGGGGGUCGGCGGAGACCCAGCGGGAGCAGGGGGAAAUCGGAAGAGCUGGGGGCAUGGAGCGGGCGAGUUUGGAGCGGAAUGAGCCGGGAGCCCUACGUUGUGGAAGGAAGACAACAGUAUAGGACCAUCAGCAGGACCGGACAGAGAGGGGCACCCCUGGCUGUCCUGGAACUUGUAGACCAGGCUGGCCUUGAACUCAGAAAUCCGCCUGCCUCUGACUCCCGAGUGCUGAGAUUAAAGGUGUGCACCACCACACCCGACAAGGAAGCCUGUUUUAAGAAGUGAUUCCAUGGAGGAGUUCUGCGGCGGCUCAGGGCUUGACUAAACAGUGGACCUCAGACAAGAGAGGCUAAACCAGGCUGCAGGUGACAGGAAGAAUUGAAUAAACUGAAAGCAAAGGGCAGCCUUCUAAUUACGCUUCGUGGCUAUGUGGACAACCUGGAGAAGUCUGGAAACCUUUCCUCCUCCAUUUUACUACUUGAGGGAGCAGUGGGUGGGAUACUAGGCAAGUAGCUGCAAUGGCUGGUGCUUUAUGGUUCCCUGGCAUCCCCUGAAUCUGUUAACAUCCCAACCUUCUUGACAGCCAGCCCCACCCCAUCACAUUCUUACUCCUUCCCUUUCCAAGAAAGAAGCCAGAAGCCCGAAGCCAGCAGUAGAGCUCUGACUGGCUUGUAUGCCUAGAAAGGAAGGGCUCUUCUUUCGCCUCACGGGCACAAAUGGGACCCACGAGCGCCGAUUUCAGACUAUUCUGAUCCCUUCAAAAAGAAAGUUAGGAGUCCAGGCUACUGUGAGUGAAUUUGAUUCUAAUUGUUUCAGAGAAUAUGGAAUAAAAUAUCUCAUUUGCAGUUGUUUA
rnacentral:lncRNA from 1 species